rnacentral:lncRNA from 1 species
CGCGGUGCGCUGCUGCCCCGCUGCUGGGGUUCCUAGCCAGCGAGGUUAUGAUCCCCACCAGCGGUUCCACUUCCAGUCUGGCGCCGGCUGUGUCUGGAGUCGUUCCGAACAUUUUGCACGUGUAUUAACGUAUCUGAACCUCAAAACAACCCUGCAAGGAAGGUAUGACUGUUAUUCCCAUUUUACAGAAGAGGAGACUGAGACACAGGUUUAAGUGAUGUACCCAAGAUCACGGAACUAGUAAGUGGCCGAAUCCGCGUUCAAAUCCAGACGGUCUGGCUCCAGAGUCCGCCUUCUACCCCACCGUUGGCUGCCUUGGUUCAGCAACAGUGACUGUCACACGGAGCCCUCAGGAGUCGCGCUGACAAUGGGUGGGCCCUGCCUUCAAGUUCCACACUGUCUGUUUGUGUCAUUACAACACUACUGGAAGUAGGUGCAGUUAUAGACCCGCUGUUCAAGGUCAGCUGAAAUGAAAGUCAGGUCACACGAGUCCAAACUGUGGGGCCACUUAACCACCAACUCCAAGCAGGAAGGUGGACGAUCCCAGACUCGGUCGAAGACAAGCAUGUCUGGUUUGCUUGUCUUCCUUCUCAACCUGAAUGGCACGAACAUGGAGAAAUGCAUACUUACCCUGCCAGCUGGAGAAAACUGGAGACGAAGGAGGGAGCCAGGAGUUUCUACUUUGCCUUCCACCAGUUGCUGACACUUUCUGAACCCCGUCUGUAAAAUGAAGUCAUGCUGCCCAUCACUCAAAGUUGUGUGAAUUGAGAGAGUGCUCAUAGUGCUCUGUGAAUUGCAUAACAUCCAUUUUGCUGUUGAAGAUCAUUUAUUUUGGGUUCUUAGUCUCUCACAAAACCUUAGAACACUGACACCAAGACUCCAGCCUUUCCCUUUCGAAACAUAAUUCCCGUGCGCACCUAAAUGAUACUUUAUUUCAAGAAGUAGAACUGACACCCACACCUCAGCCCCAGAAUUAUUCAGAAUUAGAGAAUUUCAUCAAGAGGGAAGUUAUCCCUUCUAAAACAUCUUCCUCAUUACAGGAAGUAAGAAUGGCAGGAUAACAGUUUCUAGAGUGGAAAAGUGGAGCUCUGGCCUGAUUCUAUCAUCAUGGUGUACCCAGGGAGGCCUCAUUUCCUGGUAUCAAAUUCUCUGUGUUAAGAUAUCUAUGGCCCAAUUCAAAAUGGCUUAAGCAAUAAGAAGGUUUGUUUUCUCACAUAAUAAAAUGUUUGGAGGUAGGUAUGUCCAAGGUUGGUAAAGAGGCAGUUGAACAAUGUGACCAAAGACUCCAGUUCUGGCUGGGCCCGGUGGCUCACACCUGUAAUCCCAGCACUUUGGAAGGCUGAGGCAGGCGAAUCACUUGAGGCCAGGAGUUCGAGACCAGCCUAGCCAACAUAGUGAAACCCUGUCUCUACCAAAAGUACAAAAAUUAGGCAGGCAUGGUGGCGCGCGCCUGUAGUCCCAGUUACUCCAGAGGCUGAGACAGGAGAAUUGCUUGAAACCGAGAGGCAGAGGUUGCAGUGAGCUGAGAUCAUGCCGUUGCACUACAGCCUGGGUGAGAGAGUGAGACUCUCUCAGAAAAAAAAGACCCUGGUUCUGUCUAUCCUUUUGUGCCAUCAUCCUUGGUGUUCUGUUAUCCUGCGGUGUGCCCCUCAUGGUCCCAAGAUGGCUACUGUAGCUCAAAACAUCACAUCAUUACAUGCGAAUGUCCACAAGUGGAAGUUAGGACAUCCCUUCGAGCCUCUUUUUAAGAGUGAAGAAACCUUCCCUGGCUGGAUGCAGUGGCUCACACCUUCUGACCUUCCACUCCUCAAGCCCCGGAGUCAACUCUAGUCACACUGGCCUCCUUGCUGUGCCUCUUCCACAGCGAAUGUGUCCUGGCCUCAGACCCUUUACAUUUGCUGUUCCCUGUGCAUGGAACGCUCUUCCCUCAGGUCAUACAUAGCAUACAUUACUGAGUGCUCUCCAUGUGCCCAGCAUGGUUUGAUGCGCUUUACAUAUAUUAACUCAUGGAACCUAACAGCUUUAUGAGACGAGUCUGUUAUCUCCAUCCCCAUUUGAUAGAUGGGGCAUCCCUGUGGGAGCUCUGCCCAUUCCAGAGGUGCCAGGCCAUUCACUAAUGGGGGCAGGAGCCGGUGAGUAAAUGCCAGUCUUGUGCUGUCACAGGUGGACGAUUCAGAGAGGUGUUCUAGACCAUUCAGAUCUUUCUGGAACCUUCUCAGAGACCAGAAGUACUCAGCCCUAUUGCUACAACUGACUUCACUAACACACCCUCUGUCCCAUUCCUCCCACCCCUUACUUCUGCUUCCAGGGAUCACCUCCCACAUAAACGACUUACACUCAAGUCUCAGACUUGCUAUCAGGGAACCAAAACUAAAACAAAAGGGAAACUUGAUACUGGGUCAUCCCCUAUAGUUCUGUACCUUGCCUGGGUUAAAAUUGCACUAUUUUAUUAGAUGUGUGACCUUGGGCCAGUCACCUGUCUGUGCCUGUUUCCUAAUCUGUAAAACGGACAUAAUGUCACCUAAUUCACAGGGGUGUUGGAAGAGUGAAGAGAGAUGGUGUUAGGUGAGGUCCUUAAAAC